rnacentral:rRNA from 1 species
UACAGAGGGUGCAAGCGUUUAAUCGGAAUUACUGGGCGUAAAGCGUGCGCAGACGGUUGCGUAAGUCAGAUGUGAAAGCCCCGGGCUCAACCUGGGAAUUGCAUUUGAGACUGCGUAGCUAGGGUGCGGAAGAGGGAAGCCGGAAUUUCCGGUGUAGCGGUGAAAUGCGUAGAUAUCGGAAGGAACACCAGUGGCGAAAGCGGCUUCCUGGUCCAGCACCGACGUUCAGGCACGAAAGCGUGGGGAGCAAACAGG